rnacentral:lncRNA from 10 species
UUUUUACUUAAACAUUAUCAGAGAGGUUAUGAAGCCUUCCUGAAUGCUCAUUCAAGGUUGUACAAGAAGCAUGGCACCAGCAUCUGCAUCUGAUGAGGACCUCAGGGUGCUUCCACUUGUGGCGGAAGAAGGGGAGCCAGCAUGUGCAGAUACCACACGGCGAGAGAUGAAGGAAGAGAAAGAGGAGGAAGGUUCCAGGCUCUUUUUAACAAUCAGACCUCACAGGAACUAAUAGUGUGAGAAGAUGUUUAACAUAUUCUAAUAAGAUAUUCCUAAUAAACUGCCAUGAGAUAACUGCUGUA